CAUGAAAAAUGUCCCCUCCCACGAACUUGUGUGUUUUGCGUUGUAUUUACAGAAUGGCGUAAAAAACCGUUUUUGUUCAUGUCCAUUUCAAUGCGCUCGCAGUUUUCCGAACAUUAGUUCGCAUGCUCACCCAUGUUUUUUAGCUACGCUUGCAUUGAUUUUGGAAGUGCUCGCUGCUCGGUAAAAUUAAACAAAAACUAAUAUACAUACCAAGCCGGCGCAUCAGGUUUUUUUUUUAUAGAUGUAGCCUGCUACUUCAAGUAAAUGUCGAGAGGUGAGCGCAGCCCGCGAAGGAAGCAUUCUUUCAGAUUGUGGAGGUGCACAGGAGGCCCAAACCUAAAUAUUGCUGCGCAGGAGGCUAGCAGCUUCUAACAAAAGAAUUAACAAUAGGAAUACCCAAGUCCCCUAAAAUGAAGGCCCCUGUUAGCAUGACCGAGGGGCUCUGGGAACGAGUGUUAGCAUGACCGAGGAUAAAUCGGGAAGACUCCAGGUAUUUUACUAGCGGAUGACGCGGGACGACCCCAGAAAAACCACGAGUCUGCCCUUCAUACAAAACAACGGUGAAACUUGAGGUUUUCCGUAGUCUUACCCUGUGCGAUAACCCGUGGAAUACGCACCAAAUCUGGGUGACAAAACGGGGUGAGGAAAACUUGUGAAAACCUCGGAUUAAUUGGGAAGACUCCAGGUACUCUACUAGCGGAUGACGCGGGACGACCCCAAGUAAACUCGUCUCGCCUGACCCUGCGUAUUUUCAGGUUUUACCGCCGUAGAUAACUCGCGGUUUUAACUAGGUAAUCUUUGCUGCGAUGAUGACGGGAUGCCAUCAGACUCGCACACGACAAGGGAUGACGGGAUGCCAUCGGACUCGCAAGCGACAAAGGAUGACGAGAUGCCCUCGGACUCGCGCGUGACAAGGAGUGACAGGAGGUCAUGGAACUCUCAGGCGACAAGGGAUGAAGGGAUCUCCAUCGGACUCGCACGCUACAAGGGAUGACGGGAUGCCAUCGGACGUGCACGCUACAAGGGGUGACGGGAUGUCAUCGGACUCGCACGCGACAAGGGAUGACGGGAUGUCAUCGUACUCGCACGCGACAAGUGGUGCCGUGAUCCCAUCGGACUCGCACACACGAUAGGGGGUGACGGGUUGCCAUCGGCCUCGCGUGCUACAGUGGACGAUAGUUUGGAGUGACGCGGUGUCCAAGAUUUUGAGUAAAAAUUUACACGGUAUGCAAAGCUACGAACAGAAAGAGUUACAUAGCCUAUAUAAUUCUCAUUUGGUUUUUAGCUCUUACCAACUUGGAUAGUUUGCGCUUUAUUGGCGCUCCAAAUUUUCGCCACAUUUGCACAUGGCUGUGCCUGGGAUGUUCCACUUGACGAACUUGCAUCGACCACGCAUCCUUUCUCCGGUUAACACCCACACUUAGAAGCAACAACUGACAAACACUGACAGCUCUGGGAGGGUCCAGACAGGCUCCCACUGUCGACGGCUGGUUUAUUGUCCCCAGAUGUCAGAUGGUGAAGAGAUUGUAGGACCAGCGAUGUAAGCAGCGCGCAAAACGUGUUGAAGCAAAGCAGCAUAUAUUGGUGAACGAACCCCUAUUUUGUUUCUCUUUUGGAAGAUGUCUGCCCUUGCCGCAUCCCCGCCAGAAAAGUGCAAGUGCGACCGAAAAUUAUAACUACAAAUAGCUUCAGAUGUGUAGGCUCCUUGUCAGGGAUGCUGCUGGUGCGACCAUACAUUAUAACUACAAAGAGCUCAGGGUUGUCGGGAUGCUGCCGAGUGAGAACAGCAUUCUGACAUCUUCACGAACGCCCCAGGUAUCCUUUUUCUUUCCUCUGUUGUAGAACGAAGACAUUUGAUCGCACCAGUUAGUUAAUCUGAGCCUUGCUCGCUGAGCAGCUUAUAGCCCAAGGAAUUGAAAUAAGAUUUUCCCAGUUUUCGAGUUUGAUAAAACAGAAAAAAGACUUGAGUUUUUUUUGUAGAAAAAAUCAUCCUAUGAGAAGCUAUGUAUUUAACGUAAAUGAAUGCUUUGCAUGGGUUCAGUAUUGUGUUUGUUUGGCAUGUAAUUGUACUUCAAACCGAAAUUUCUCUAGAAUUGCUGCAAGUAUGAUAAAAUAGGCGCGUCAAGCAAUUUUAUAUUAUAGAAAACAAUCCUUUUAAUCAAACUGCAAGGUUUUCAGGAAUGUACCAUUUUUUGAAAUGUACUUUGUUUUCAUUCAAAAAGGGUUUAUUUUAUUACAUCCCAAUAACACUGUAAGUUCACGAAAUUGGGCGUGGCGUCCUAAUAAGAACUAAUCACCAUAAAGCAAAUAAACAUUUCGCGUGACUUUAGAUAUGUGUGUAUGUCUGUCAUGUGUUUAUAAUCAUAAACGUCUAUUCUCUAGAAGUGCUGUAAGUAAUACCAAGAAGGCGUGUCUUACGAACUGAUAUUAUAGAAGACGUUUAUUGUUAUCAGAUAGCAAGUUUUUAGUCCUGUAUCAUUCCAUUAAUUGGACAUUUUCUUCAUUAAAAGGUUAAUUAUA